rnacentral:rRNA from 1 species
ACGUAGGGGGCAAACGUUGCUCGGAAUUACUGGGCGUAAAGGGUGAGUAGGCGGCUGUGCAAGUCAGGGAUGAAAUCCCGCGGCUUAACCGCGGAACUGUCUUUGAAACUGCACGGCUUGAGGACAGUAGAAGAGAAUGGAAUUCCCGGUGGAGCGGUGAAAUGCGUAGAUAUCGGGAGGAACACCUGAGGCGAAAGCGAUUCUCUAUGCUGCUCCUGACGCUGAGUCACGAAAGCCAGGGGAGCAAACGGGAUUAGAUACCCCGGUAGUCCUGGCCAUAAACGAUGGAUACUGGAUAUUCCUGCAGUUGUGUGGGAGUGUCGAAGCUAACGCGUUAAGUAUCCCGCCUGGGGAGUACGGUCGCAAGGCUG